rnacentral:misc_RNA from 1 species
GUUUAUACAUAAAUAAUAAUAAUAUAAUAUUUUUAUAAUAUCUCUACAUGCAAUUCACAUUUAUAUGACACUUGAUCUUCUUAUUCGGGGUAUCAACUUUGAUGAUUUAAUAGGCAUUGACUACUCUGGUUUUCGUAGUGGACAGCUGGUUUACGUUGGCUUCGGUUCAUCAUUUGUCGCCAUCUUGAUGUCUCUUCCUGCUACAUGAAGGUAAGUUGGCUUUUAACAUUAGAAGUUAUUUAUUCUCUUGUUUCAUUAAUAAGAAAGGUGUUAAAAAUGGUUUCUAAAUUUUUUAUUUCUUUAUUUUCAGGUGUUGUUAUUCGAAGUGGAUACUCGUCUGCUAAUUAAGUUUAUUGUUGGCGUUCGUCUGCGCAGUACGCCCUCAUGAAUCGUGAGAUUUCUGCCAUGCGGCGCUCCACGGGGUUCGAACUAGGAGAAUAUGUGGAAGUUCGAGAUAUUUUUAUAUCAGCCAGGUCAAGUAUUCUUUUCCAUGGUUUGCUACAAAAAUAUGAUGCAUUAUCUGAUAGAAUGCGCUUAGGUUUUCCUACUUGCGGAGUCCACUUAUUCACUAUGCAAUUUGCUAGGACUUCUCCUGUUAGCUUACCGAUGGGAAAGAACAUGGUGUAUUUAGAGAAUGUGCAUGUUAAUACGAAUAUAUAUUUCUUCCCAUGUUGUGCUAGGGGUAGAGGACCAUAAAUGUCGGCUGAUACUAACUCCAAUGGGGCGGUCGGCAAUAUAGGUAUCAUUGCUCCCCUGACUUGAUAUUUUAAAUGUUUGGUUUUCUGACAUAGGUCGCAUGCUCUUAACACUUUGACUACCUUUUUGUGCAUACCUUUCAGAUAACAGGCUUCUUUUAGUGUACAUAUCGUUUUUCUUACUCCAAAGUGGCCAAUUCUC